GACCCACCUCCCCAGAGCUUCCCACGCAUGGAGACCAGCAUCCACCACAAACAUCUCACCCUCAGCUGGGCAAAUGAAGGGGACAGAGCCUGAGACACCUCUCCUCCAUGGAGGCUCAAUGGUUCUGCUUGCAAGCAGGAGGUGGGAGCCUGUUAAUGGAGGGGGCAGAUUCUGUGCUCACUGCCCCAGUAGGUGCAGCAGCAGCAGGAGUGCAGUGAGCACAUUGAUAAUCCAUUGAUCAUCUCCCCAUGGCCAAGGAGGAGGCAGAACAGGUUUUGACUUGCUGUCGGCUCCAUGCCAUCUGAACUCUGGAGGUGGAGACCACAGGACCUCUGAUCUGCUGUGCACAGAAGCAUCACAGUGCUGACAGCAAAAGGUGCUCCAGCAUCACAGCUCCCUGGGCAGGUCCUCGUGUUCACCAAGAGGGGCUGUUGCACUAACUGGGACUGUUUGAGGACUUGAGGACUGAACGUGUGCUGCUGAGAUUUUCUUGAACACAUCUCCACCUAGAUGGCUGUGGGCUCAGAAGGACACGUGCCCUGUCAGGUUGUGCAUCUACAGGGUAAGAAGGUGCUGUCUUUCCCUUCAUCUAGGAUAUAUCUUUGCAAACUCUGCUGCCUUUUCUCUUUGGAAACAAGGCUAAGUUCCUGUAAACCCAAUUAUAUUGCAACUUGCAGACUGGACAACAGCAUGUGUGAGUAUCAUCCCAUGUCCCUGGCCAAAGAUGGUUUGGUUCCCUGGUAGCUGACAACAGCAGAGUUUCAGCAGCCCAUGUAAAGCUCCAAACACACAUAUUAAAUCUGGUAAAGGGAAGAAGAUUAAGCCCGGAGCAGAGAGGCCCAGAUUCAGAUGUCUUUAAAGGCAACAAUGAGGUCUAGGCUUCGUCCCCAGCCGGAGAGGUCAAAUACAUGGUUUUCAUUAUAGAUCCCAACUCUGCUUUUUCCCCAUGUCUCUGUUCCCUGGCCGGCCCAUGAUGUGCAGCCACAAUACAAAGACAUGAAAGCCCUUUGUAACAUCUGACAGCAGCACGCAGCCCCCGGUCUGUCCCAGGGGGCUGCUCCACAGCGCGCUCCUUCCAUUGUGCUCCAGCCCCGUCUGGAUGGCAGCGAUUUGGCUUUGCACGCCCUGCACAUGAAUUACCUGAAGAAGGACAGACGUUUGCAAGCUACAAAGUAGCGGGCACUAAAUUGUGAUAAGCAGAGCGCUCUGUUUCACUUCAUGAGGGUGCAGCGAUAGCUCCUCUGCACGUUGUCCCUGCUUCCCUUUGCUGAGUUAUUGACACAUAUUCCUUUUUGCUGCCAGCUUCAACGGCUGCUGCUAACUCAGCCAAAGCCCAUCUUUCAGCCCUGAAUAAUCAAGUGACUGGGACAGCUAGCAGAAGGACAAUCUCCCUCCAGGACACGAUGGCCCCGACAUACAAACACGUUCAAACACAGACAAUGAAAUCGAAGGGAGCGGGCCAGGUGGGCAAAAUGCCCGUGCUGGUACACUGUGAUUUUAAACACAUGAUAGUAAAAGGGUAACAACAUUUCUAUCGCCAUGCUAAUCCUAUGUGACUGCUUCAGCCUUGCAUGCUCAGCCUGAUUCUGCUCUGCUCAGCCUGUUGGUCUCCCCUUCCCAAGCCAGACAGGAGUGGGAGAGGAUGCCAGGGAGCCAGAUUUCAGCUUUUCAUACCCUAAACAGUGGUGUUAAGGCUGUAAGUUCAUGAAAACAGUGGAUCCCUAGUCCCUCAGCCUCUUAUCAAGAGGUAAGUCCUGGCCCAUCAGCAAGGCCAAACCCUUGAAGGGCAAAGGUUUAGGAGGACUCAAGGUACAGACUGCCCCCCUCCAUCCAAAACAACCCAUCCCAGGCCCCAAGCCCCCCUAAAGUCUUCCCACAGGUUGAACGAUACCCUGACAUUUAGAAAUAUCAUGGUAUUUCCGUGGCGUUAGAGCCGUGGAAGAUUUAAAGUGUGUCACUGGAUGCUGCGAUACAAUCUCGGUCGUCCCUCGAUGCCAUCUCUCACGCGCUGCACGCACAUCAGCUGGCUUCAGCUGCUUCUCCGCCGAAAGAUGUCACGGAUGUGCUCAGCAGGACUUACCUACACACAGCGAGUGUUUAUGUGUUUGCAGGAUCCUGGCUCACACCUUUCUUAUGAGUGCACGGAGUGCAGAAAGCGCCGGUAGCAUCUAGGCAGCCUACCUGGAGCUCUGGAAAUUUUUAGCGUAAAAACGAAGCUUUGGGGAGGGAGGGGGAAACACAAAAGGUCUUAAGAUUUCACUGAUUUCUCCUGAGACCCUUUUCUGUACACAAAGUGUUUCCUGCUCUGUUCUUGGAAGCAUUACCCUUGGCUGGGCCUGGCCUUUAAAACAUUACCAGCUGUAUGCAAAAUAGAGUGCAAAGUGCCAAAAAGCCCUGCAGGCUAUUUACAUUUGGCUGGAGCUUGCUGUGUUGGCCAAGCUACAGAGAUACUUUGUUCAUCAGCCUUGCAAGGAAAGCAGCUACUUCAAGCUGUUUGGUCCUGUUUAUACACAGAGUUACCAUGGAAGUCCCCGUGCCUCGCAGCUUUACACAUUCAUGUGUCGUGGGGUAUAUUUCUGGGGACCUGGGUUGUCUCCUUUCUGCCCUCUCUUUUGGCUGAGAGUUGGUAGGGAAUUUUGGGAUAAGGUGCUUGGAUAGAGGUUGAGUGCAAACUGAUUUAUGUCUAAAAUAAAGGGCUGCUUGGAGUUACACGGAUCUUCUCUGGAUGCAAGCACAAGCAGGUGGAGCAGUGGGGUACCUGCUGGGUUGGCAAGAGCAUUUUUCCCAAGGUAAAUUUGGAGAAAUUGCAAUGACAGGCAUAAGGGUAACUUGUCUUUUUAAGAGACCUUAGGGAAAAUGUAGCAACCUUUGCAAUAUUUUUUUUUUAAGAGGAGUUGUUUGAGUCCUUGGGUUACUAUCCCAGCUAACAGGCAUGCAGAUUUCUUGCCAUUUCUUUCUUCUUUUGUUUGUUUACCUGUUGUGUUAAAAAGAUUUCUUUUAGCUGAAGACUUGCCAUUAAUCAUCUCUUGCAAACACGCCUCCUAGGCAGACUGAUUCACGGGCACGAGGGCUGGAGGCCCUCUUCACUUGGCUAGGUCUAGGUCUUCAGCUCAGGGCAUUUACAUCUCUGUCCUGGGAACCUGUGCUGGGAAAGGCCAACAGAUUGCGUCCUUGGCCUCGCACCAAGGCCUGGGAUCAUCUCAGGUACUGGACGGGAUCAUCUGAAUAUAGCCUCCUCUUGCAAGAAAUCCCCAAGGAGCGCUAGGAGGAACCACUCUUCUGAUGGUGAAACACAUCUCCCUGUGUCUGUCCUGAGCAAGAUCAGGGGGCACUUCUGCUCUUUGUUUUAGCAGGGCAAGGAUUUGCCACUGCAGCUAGGAGGGGUGGAGAGGACGCACGGCUGAGCCCUGCGGGCUGCCCAAAGGUCCCCAAACACAGCUGGCUGGGCUGGAGCUUGGACAACGCAGCUCCACCUGUGCACGAAGGGCUCUCCUGCUGCUUUUGGCUAUCAAACGCCCUCGCUCAGAAGUAGAAACGUUUGGGAAGCAAAACAGCAAUGUGUCUGCUGUCUGUGCACUUGCUCUCCUCCAAAGACGGAGCCAGCCAAGCCUGGAGUUCAUUCUCUCUUGGCCAAUAGUUAAUAAUAACCCUGCAACAGUUUCUUUUUUCAUUGCAAAUUAAGGGUGGAUGAAUGGCCUGGAUAAAAUUAGAAAUGUUUUCCUGAAAGGCUGAGCUGAGCCUUUUAAAGUUUACAAAGUUGUAGUUCCAGGGACCUCUUGUUGCAGCUGGGGAAUCCCAGCUGCUCUCAGAAGGGUGAACAGAUAAAAAAAAUGCCUGCGUGUUGCACGUGGGUUAGAAAGUCCUCUCUGUCCGGCCGGCUUCCCAGCACCCUGGCUUUGAGGAGGUUGGUGGGGCAGCUCCUGAUUUCCCCUUCCUUAACUGCUGUGGCCAAAAGCUUAAUGUUCCCUUAGCAGGCAAGCCCCCUGCGUGGUGUUCAGGGGCAGACAGGAGUUUUUUUUGGGGUUGUGUGAUGAUGUACACCCUGUGGGGCACAUUGCAGGAGAGGAAAGGAGUGCAUGUCACCUUCAUAGGAUCCAUCACUGAGUGCUCCUACACUGGUGAGGCUCAAUGCAUGAGCUCAAACCAGCAAGACACGAGAUGGACAGCUGUCAGCAGCAGCUGCUUGAAGUUCAAUAAUUCAGAUUUUUUUGUGUCCCUGCACUCUUAACUAACAUAAACCCUGAGCCAUUGACUUCAGUGUGGUGUUUGGAUUCUGCUGGCAUUUAAAAUGAUCCGCCGAGGUUAGCAGAGACGAUGUACGCCAGCUCAGUAUUAGGCCCAGCACUUUCUGCAUAGUAUUAACAUUUAUAUCCCCUCCAGAAAGGCUGAGGAAAGCACAGGUUGCCUUCAUAAUGAGGUAUUAAAAAAAAAAAAUCUCCAAACAAAACAAUAUGUGUUUGAUAGCCUGGGAGAUCUGCCUGUUGGUUUUAAAAGUCAUCCUGGGCCCUUAUAUAACAGUGUAAUUAGUUGAUGCUAUAAACUUAUUAUGUACCUGAUGGAACACAACAGUUCCUUUGAAGCAAUUCCGAUCUAUUGUGUAAUUAUAUAAUUAGGCCACAUGCCAUACGUGGGAGAUUGUGCAAAGGGGGGAAGCUUUCCAUUUCAAGGUAACCAAGAGCCUUGGUGGCUAUGGGUAUUUUUAUUUUUUUCUGCUGCCUUGCAAUUUAGAAAAUGCCGAACUCUUAAUUAGUUAUACCA